GACGAACGCUGGCGGCGUGCCUAAUACAUGCAAGUUGAGCGCUGAAGGUUGGUACUUGUACCAACUGGAUGAGCAGCGCACGGGUGAGUAACGCGUGGGGAAUCUGCCUUUGAGCGGGGGACAACAUUUGGAAACGAAUGCUAAUACCGCAUAAAAACUUUAAACACAAGUUUUAAGUUUGAAAGAUGCAAUUGCAUCACUCAAAGAUGAUCCCGCGUUGUAUUAGCUAGUUGGUGAGGUAAAGGCUCACCAAGGCGAUGAUACAUAGCCGACCUGAGAGGGUGAUCGGCCACAUUGGGACUGAGACACGGCCCAAACUCCUUCGGGAGGCAGCAGUAGGGAAUCUUCGGCAAUGGACGAAAGUCUGACCGAGCCACGCCGCGUGAGUGAAGAAGGUUUUCGGAUCGUAAAACUCUGUUGGUAGAGAAGAACGUUGGUGGGAGUGGAAAGCUCAUCAAGUGACGGUAACUACCCAGAAAGGGACGGCUAACUACGUG
rnacentral:rRNA from 1 species